GACUUCUUUUUUGGCUAUGGCUACAGCUGUCUCUCUGGUUUCUCUUAAUAGAUUUCACAUGCCCUUUGACACUGGUCUAGAGACUUAAAAAAUAGCAAUCAGAGAAACAAAUCACCCCUCCAAAUGCCUUUCUGCCAUGGACAGCUUGCUGGGGGGCACGGAUUUAACAGACCCUGUCACUGAGUUUGGGGAGCAGCGUGUCAGGAUGAAGCCAGGGAGGCAGUGCCAGAACCACACAUUGAGGCUGAUGGUGGGAGUGCACCAGGGAUCAUUCUGUGCUGAUAUUCACGUCCUGGGCCCCAUCCUCCUGAGAAACAUGUCUUCAGCAAGCAAAGAGCUGUGACGUUCAAUCCAUAAACACAGGUUCCCGCAGCAGAACAGCCUCUCCAGCCCCAGGCUCUUGCAGCACUGGGAGCCUGGCAACUUCUGCUGGCCCCACACCACUGGCAGUUUUGUAGCAGAGCACCUCCGGUGACACCUCCCCAUGUGCAGCUUCAAGAUCUGCUUCCUUCAAGAUCAGCUUCAAGAUCUGAUUCCUCUCCAGGAGCUUUCCCUAGCAUCCUAGGGGGUUGAUUCCUGGCAAGUUCUGCUGCUGCAGCAUCUCAGCAACCCUGCCAUCCUGUGCACCAGGCAGCCCUAGGGCCAGCAGCUUCUCCCUGUAUCCACUGUUUCCACAUUCUUUAGAGUUCCUUUGCUUCCCUCCAGCCAACCCCUUGUUACUCCAAUCCACUAUUGCAGUUAAUAAUUUGUUAUAUUAAACCUUCCCUGUUCAA